rnacentral:rRNA from 1 species
AUUCCAGCUCCAAUAGCGUAUAUUAAAGUUGUUGCAGUUAAAAAGCUCGUAGUUGGAUUUCUGGCAGGAGCGACCGGUCACACACUCUGUGUGUGAACUUGUGUUGUCUCUGGCCAUCCUUGGGGAGAUCCUGUUUGGCAUUAAGUUGUCGGGCAGGGGAUACCCAUCGUUUACUGUGAAAAAAUUAGAGUGUUUAAAGCAGGCUUAUGCCGUUGAAUAUAUUAGCAUGGAAUAAUAAGAUAGGACUUCGGAACUAUUUUGUUGGUUUGCGUUACGAAGUAAUGAUUAAUAGGGACAGUUGGGGGUAUUCGUAUUUCGUUGUCAGAGGUGAAAUUCUUGGAUUUCCGAAAGACGAACUACUGCGAAAGCAUUUACCAAGGAUGUUUUCAUCG